rnacentral:rRNA from 1 species
GSGGGGGCACGGGGGGAACGCGAAGAACCUUACCUAGACUUGACAUCUCCUGAAUUACCAUGUAAUGUGGGAAGUCCYUUCGGGGACAGGAAGACAGGUGGUGCAUGGUUGUCGUCAGCUCGUGUCGUGAGAUGUUGGGUUAAGUCCCGCAACGAGCGCAACCCUUAUUGUUAGUUGCUACCAUUUAGUUGAGCACUCUAGCGAGACUGCCCGGGUUAACCGGGAGGAAGGUGGGGAUGACGUCAAAUCAUCAUGCCCCUUAUGUCUAGGGCUACACACGUGCUACAAUGGCCGGUACAACGAGAUGCAAUACCGUGAGGUGGAGCAAAACUAUAAAACCGGUCUCAGUUCGGAUUGUAGGCUGAAACUCGCCUACAUGAAGCUGGAGUUACUAGUAAUCG